rnacentral:rRNA from 1 species
AACGAACGCUGGCGGCAUGCCUAACACAUGCAAGUCGAACGAGACCUUCGGGUCUAGUGGCGCACGGGUGCGUAACGCGUGGGAACCUGCCUUUAGGUUCGGAAUAACUCAGAGAAAUUUGAGCUAAUACCGGAUGAUGUCUUCGGACCAAAGAUUUAUCGCCUUUAGAUGGGCCCGCGUCUGAUUAGCUAGUUGGUGGUGUAAUGGACCCACCAAGGCGACGAUCAGUAGCUGGUCUGAGAGGAUGAUCAGCCACACUGGGACUGAGACACGGCCCAGACUCCUACGGGAGGCAGCAGUGGGGAAUAUUGGACAAUGGGCGAAAGCCUGAUCCAGCAAUGCCGCGUGAGUGAUGAAGGCCUUAGGGUUGUAAAGCUCUUUUGUCA